GAUGAACGCUGGCGGCGUGCCUAAUACAUGCAAGUCGAGCGAACAGACGAGGAGCUUGCUCCUCUGACGUUAGCGGCGGACGGGUGAGUAACACGUGGAUAACCUACCUAUAAGACUGGGAUAACUUCGGGAAACCGGAGCUAAUACCGGAUAAUAUAUUGAACCGCAUGGUUCAAUAGUGAAAGACCGUUUUGCUGUCACUGAUAGAUGGAUCCGCGCCGCAUUAGCUAGUUGGUAAGGUAACGGCUUACCAAGGCAACGAUGCGUAGCCGACCUGAGAGGGUGAUCGGCCACACUGGAACUGAGACACGGUCCAGACUCCUACGGGAGGCAGCAGUAGGGAAUCUUCCGCAAUGGGCGAAAGCCUGACGGAGCAACGCCGCGUGAGUGAUGAAGGUCUUCGGAUCGUAAAACUCUGUUAUUAGGGAAGAACAAAUGUGUAAGUAACUAUGCACGUCUUGACGGUACCUAAUCAGAAAGCCACGGCUAACUACGUG
rnacentral:rRNA from 1 species